ACAGCAUAAGGGCUCCACCUCUUCCCAUUCCGAACAGAGAAGUUAAACCUUAUCACGCCGAUGGUACUGCGAAAGCGGGAGAGUAGGUAAUCGCCACCU
rnacentral:rRNA from 1 species